CAUCACCUUCAUGAGCGCAUCAGUGAACACCAGUCUAAGGAAGACAUCUCUGAACGUAAUUUUGGAGAUUUUGAUGAGUUCCAUUGAAACAAGGAGGAAUGUGAUGUCCAGUAUCAGUUCUGCAGACCCAAGGACAAAGAAAAUUCUGUGAUAAACUCAUCCAGUGUGACUGUAAUGUGGGUAUCUAUUUGAUACCUCCAAGUAACUGUUUAUUCUUGUGCCAGUUGAGUAGAUGGUACGGGCCAGUUGGUGUUGAUUAGUGAACCACGGACAAAGGGCAUAUGUCACAUGAGUUGCUCCUGGAUAAAGUCACCCAGUCACUUCCUGAUGAAUAUCCUGCAUAAACUCCAAAGACAAAAGAGAGUUAAGGUUGUUUUUCUCACCUUAGACCAGGCAGUGAUAGAAGAACUGGGGGAAGAGAUAAUUGUAUUUAUCUUGGUGAGGGUGACAAAUCAUGGCAAAUGAGCAAAAUGAAAAAGGAUACAAGACACCGGACUUUCAAAUCAACAAUUGUUUCAAAAGACUCCUACUGGAUUCCUGCUAGUGAUGGGAGAAAAUUAUCAUUCUGUGAGUUGUCAAUAAAUGUUUAACCAC
rnacentral:lncRNA from 1 species